GGCACGCCGGGGGAAGCGGCCGGGGGAAGAGGGGGGGUCCGGGGGUUAAGCGGGAGUACUGGGCGUAAAGCGUGCGCAGGCGGUUUGUUAAGCGAGAUGUGAAAGCCCUGGGCUCAACCUAGGAAUAGCAUUUCGAACUGGCGAACUAGAGUCGUGUAGAGGGGGGUAGAAUUCCAGGUGUAGCGGUGAAAUGCGUAGAGAUCUGGAGGAAUACCGGUGGCGAAGGCGGCCCCCUGGACAAAGACUGACGCUCAUGCACGAAAGCGUGGGGAGCAAACAGGAUUAGAUACCAUUGUAGUC
rnacentral:rRNA from 1 species